UGGGGAAUAUUGCACAAUGGAGGAAACUCUGAUGCAGCGACGCCGCGUGAGUGAAGAAGGUCUUCGGAUCGUAAAACUCUGUCCUUGGUGACGAAAAAAAUGACGGUAGCCAAGGAGGAAGCCCCGGCUAACUACGUGCCAGCAGCCGCGGUAAUACGUAGGGGGCGAGCGUUGUCCGGAUUUACUGGGUGUAAAGGGCGCGCAGGCGGAAUGGAAAGUCAGUGGUGAAAUCCUACAGCUUAACUGUAGAACUGCCUUUGAUACUUUCAUUCUUGAGUUCGGGAGAGAGAGACGGAAUUCCAGGUGUAGUGGUGAAAUACGUAGAUAUCUGGAAGAACACCAGUUGCGAAGGCGGUCUCUUGGUCCGAUACUGACGCUGAGGCGCGAAAGCGUGGGGAGCAAACA
rnacentral:rRNA from 1 species